rnacentral:misc_RNA from 1 species
CAACCCUCAUAUCCCUAUGGAUGUGGUGUUGGGGAUCGGCCUUAGCCCCCUCGCGGGGCCGGCCGGCCCCUAAAUCUAGUGGCGGACCCGUCGUGGCCUCCUCUGCGUAGUAGUAAUAUUCCGCAUGUGGAGAGCGUCGAGCCCCUGCCGUAAAACCCCAACUCUUUAAGG